AGGCCGCGCCGUUGUUCGACGCCGGCGGGGUGCUUGAGGUGGGCGGUGGGCCCCCCUCCGAUUUGAACUCCGGGGCCACGCUUGGGUGCCCCUCUGGUUUGUAGGGUUUCUGCCGAGUUGGUUACAAGUUUUCUGAACAUGCCCAAGACAUGAGAUAGUUCUCUACAAGGUAUUGAAAACAUGGCAUCAAAAGGUCCUCGGUCAAAGCUAGAUCAUGAGACAAGAGCCAGACGUCAGAAGGCUCUUGAAGCCCCCAGGGAGCCUCGAAGGCCAAAAACUCACUGGGAUCAUCUUCUUGGAGAAAUGACUUGGCUGGCAAAGGAGUUUGAUUCUGAGAGAAAAUGGAAGCUAUCCAUGGCUAAAAAGAUUGCUCAAAGAGCUAAUAAGGGUGUAGUUGACCAAGCAACAAAGGAUGAGAGAAAACAGAAGGAGGAAGAAGUUCGCCUGAGAAAAGUUGCCCUAAAUAUUUCUAAGGAUGUGAAGAAAUUCUGGACCAAAAUAGAGAAGCUGGUUUUUUAUAAGAACCAACUGGAGCUUGAGGAAAGGAAAAAAAAGGCCCUAGAUAAGCAACUGGAUUUCCUUUUAGGACAGACUGAAAGAUAUUCAACAAUGCUGGCAGAAAACCUUGUGGAUGUGUCCUUCCUUCAAAAUCAAGAAAAUGAAUCUUUACAGACUAAUCAAAGAUCCCAGCAAGAACUAGCACAAGAGAACAUAAAUGCAUCAAUUCCUAAUGAUGUUGAUAAUGAUGAAAUGGAUGAUGACUACAACAGCUCCUUGGGGGAAGAGCCAGAAGAUGAUGAACACACUAUUGACGAGGAUGAAGCUCAAAUUACGGAGGCUGAGCGCAACGAGGAACUGGCUGCUUUGCAUGCAGAAGCUGAUCUACCACUGGAUGAUAUUCUCAAGUUGUACACGAAAGCCAAAGUUAGCAGGGAAAGCAGUCCAGAUGGCAAAGAUGUUUUUAGUGACUCAGAUUCGAAGAAUUUGAUUAAAGAUUCUUUGAACCAGGCUAAUGGCUGCAAUGAUGAAUCUGAUCAUACUUCAAGUGAUGAAGGCAUUUCUUCUGAGGAAGCGGAUGAUUAUCACUCCUACUCUGAGUUUGUGAAAAAGAACACCGGGAAGUGCAAUGGCAAUAUCUCAUCUGUCGAUGCAAAGGAUGACAAAGAUUACGUUGCCAAUGAUGAUGGAAAGGAUGAUGAAGCUACUUUGUCUGAAGAGGAAGAGUUGGCAAAGCAAGAAGAUCCUGAUCCUCUGGAAGAGAUUAAGUUACUGCAGAAAGAGAGUGAGAUCCCACUUGAAGAACUUCUUGCGAGGUACCAAAAGGAUGGCUAUGCAGAUGAUGACACAACAGAAUUGGAAAAUUCACCUGCACUAUCAGUUGAGGAUGUUAAAACCAACAUGUCUGUAGAUGAUGAGUCUGUGGAGGCAGAUAUCGUGAAAGUGACCAACAAUCAGUCUGCAGAGACCAUGGAAGUGAAUAGGGAUCAAUCUGCUGAGAUUGUGGAGGUGAACAAUGACACAUUUGAAGAUAAUGAUACAACAGACAUGCUGGGAGCUGAGAAUGUGAGUGGUAGUGUUCUACAAAUAGAAACGUUGGAGCCUAUUGUACAGGAAAGUGCUGUUAAAGAGGGUGAGGUAACUGAUAUUAAAGCGAUGCCCAAUGGAGAUAAUAGCGACAAUGUAAUUGCUGAUGCUGCAGCUGCUGCAAGAUCAGCACAACCAACUGGUAACACUUUCUCAACAACAAAUGUGCGAACAAAAUUCCCUUUUCUUCUGAAGCAUUCUCUUCGAGAAUACCAGCACAUUGGACUGGAUUGGCUGGUUGCUAUGUAUGAAAAGAGGCUGAAUGGAAUUCUAGCAGAUGAAAUGGGUUUGGGGAAGACGAUCAUGACCAUCUCCUUGCUUGCACACCUCGCAUGUGAGAAGGGAAUAUGGGGCCCACAUCUUAUUGUAGUGCCAACCAGUGUUAUGCUAAAUUGGGAGACUGAAUUUCUCAAAUGGUGUCCUGCGUUUAAAAUACUGACUUAUUUUGGAAGUGCAAAGGAGAGAAAACAGAAACGUCAGGGUUGGAUGAAACCAAAUUACUUCCAUGUAUGCAUCACAACAUACAGGCUUGUUAUUCAAGACUCCAAGGUGUUUAAGCGAAAAAAGUGGAAGUAUCUCAUUCUUGAUGAGGCUCAUCUGAUAAAGAACUGGAAAUCACAAAGAUGGCAAACUUUGCUAAAUUUUAAUUCAAAGCGGCGCAUUCUUUUAACUGGAACUCCUCUGCAAAAUGACCUUAUGGAACUUUGGUCUCUCAUGCACUUUUUAAUGCCCCAUGUAUUUCAGUCGCAUCAAGAGUUCAAGGACUGGUUCUGCAAUCCAAUUUCAGGCAUGGUAGAGGGCCAAGACAAGGUAAACAAAGAAGUUAUAGAUCGGUUGCACAACGUCCUUCGCCCAUUUAUACUUCGUCGACUGAAACGGGAUGUGGAGAAACAGUUGCCACAGAAGCAUGAGCAUGUCAUAUAUUGCCGACUUUCUAGAAGGCAAAGGAACUUGUAUGAAGAUUUCAUUGCAAGCUCAGAGACUCAGGCAACAUUGGCUAGUGGAAACUAUUUUGGUAUGAUUAGCAUCAUUAUGCAACUUAGAAAGGUUUGUAACCAUCCAGAUCUUUUUGAAGGUCGACCGAUUAUCAGCUCUUUUGACAUGGCAGGGAUCAACAAGCAGAUCAGCUCUUUUGUUAGCAUGGUCCUUGAUAAAGGCCCAUUUUCUCAGGUUGACCUGUCAGAUAUGAAUUUUAUAUUUACUCAAAAUGAAUUUAAUAUGACCUCUUGGGAGUUAGAUGAGGUCGCUGCCAUUUUUCCUCCAAGCAUAACCCGCAGGGGCUCUGGUUCAGGGAUAUCUCGUUCUAGUAAUGAUGGUCAGAGAAGGAAUGGGAGAAAUAUUUUUGAAGAAAUUCAGAAUUCCCUUUGGGAGGAGAGAAUAAAAGAAGCCAAGGAAAGAGCAGCUUCCAUUGCAUGGUGGAAUAGGGUAAGAUGCCAGAAGGGGCCUGUUUAUGGCACAAAUAUUAGGGAGGUUUUGACCAUAAAGCAUCCUGUGUCUGAUGUACUUGAGAAGAAGAACAAUCCUUUGUGCCACAUGGAAUUUUCAUCAAGCCUGGCGGAUCUUGUUCUUUCAUCGGUGGAACGCUUCAAGAAAAUGCUUGAUUUUAUUGAGUCAUUUACUUUUGCAAUUCCUGCUGCACGGGCACCUACACCAUUUUUCUGGUGCAGCAAAGGGAAGUCUCCUGUUAUUGAACCAGCAUACAGAGAAAAAUGUAUGAAUGAGUUUUCUCCUGUUUUCUCCCCUAUAAGGCCUGCGAUUGUUCGCCGUCAAGUGUACUUUCCUGACAGGCGUUUGAUCCAGUUUGACUGUGGUAAACUGCAAGAACUUGCUAUUUUGUUGAGGCGUUUGAAGUCAGAAGGACACAGGGCCUUGAUAUUUACUCAGAUGACUAAGAUGCUUGAUAUACUGGAGGAAUUCAUUAAUCUGUAUGGGUAUACAUAUUUGCGACUAGAUGGAUCAACCCAGCCAGAAGAGAGGCAGACACUGAUGCAGAGGUUUAAUACUAACCCAAAGUUUUUUCUUUUUAUUUUAUCCACUCGUAGUGGUGGUGUGGGUAUCAACCUAGUAGGUGCAGACACUGUCAUUUUCUAUGAUAGUGACUGGAAUCCUGCAAUGGACCAACAAGCCCAGGACAGAUGCCACAGGAUAGGUCAAACUCGUGAAGUUCACAUCUAUAGACUGAUUAGUGAGAGCACCAUAGAGGAGAAUAUACUCAAGAAAGCCAAUCAGAAGCGAGCUCUUGAUGAUCUAGUGAUACAACGUGGUAGCUACAAUACAGAGUUCUUCAAGAAGCUUGAUCCUAUGGAAUUCUUUUCUGGGCACUCCUCACUUCACGCAGAGAAUCAACAGAAAGAUUGCUCUAUGUCUGCUGGACCCUCAAAUGGAACUAGUUUGGCACUGUCAAAUUUGGAUGUUGAGGCAGCUAUUAGACAGGCAGAAGAUGAAGCUGACUAUAUGGCUCUCAAGAAGCUGGAGCAGGAAGAGGCUGUGGACAAUCAAGAAUUCAGCGAGGAGGUUGCUGGAAGACUUGAGGAGGAGGAUCUUGUAAAUGAGGAGGAUGCUAAGCAUGAUGAACACACCAAUGAAGAGCAUAAAAACCAAUGUUCUGAAUUGGAGAAGGACAAGCAUGUUGCUUUAUCGAUGAAUCAAUUAGAUGAAGAAAAGGCUAUAACUUUGGCUGGUGGGGAUGGAGAUAUUGACAUGCUUGCUGAUGUUAAGCAGAUGGCUGCUGCAGCUGCUGCAGCUGGUCAAGCAAGUUCGUCUUUUGAAAAUCAGCUCCGACCAAUUGAUAGAUAUGCCAUGCGGUUUUUGGAACUCUGGGAUCCAAUAAUUGAUAAAGCUGCUAUAAACUAUCAAGUCAAUGUUGAAGAGGAAGAAUGGGAACUUGAACGCAUUGAAAAACUCAAAGAAGAUUUAGAAGCAGAAAUUGAUGAAGACCAGGAACCGCUUUCUUACGAGUCAUGGGAUGUUGAUUUUGCUACUACAGCAUAUCGGCAACAUGUUGAGGCUCUAGCUCAAAAACAGUUGUUGGAGGAGCAAGAAAAACAAGCCCGCGAAGCAGCAAAAGAGUUGGAGGAAAAGAAUGAUAAUAUGAGCGCUCAACGCAAAAAGUCAAAAAAGAACAAGAAGAAGGCAGCAAAGUUCAAAUCUCUGAAGAAAGGACGUUUGUCGUCCGAGUCAGAGGUUAUGGUUGAGGAAACAUCUGUAGAUACUAUGAGCAUUGAUGACAAUGCACCCUCACCAGAGCUAAUGAGUGAUGAAUCAGUACAUCAUUAUUCUAACAAGCGUAGGAGGGCAAUGUCAACAAAUGAGGAUGAGAACAACAAUAGCAGAAGCCUGAAGAAGCUCAAGAAAGCCCCUAAAUCAAGUUUCAUUUCAGAGGCCUUAUCACCCAAACAUCUUGAAGGCAAACAGCUUAAGUUUAAAGAUGAACUUAAUGAUUUUGAUCCAAAAUCGGCGGCAAGAAUCAAGAGUGAUGGCCGAAUUUCCAUUCCAUUCAUGCCAGUAAAACGUGUCAUGGUAAUCAAGCCAGAGAGAUUGAAGAAGAAGAGCCUAUGGUCCCGAGACUGUGCUUCAGACUCAUGGACAACUGAGGAAGAUGCCGUUCUUUGUGCAACUGUAAAUGAGUAUGGUCCUCUUUGGGAACUGGCUAGUGAUUCUCUUCAUGCUGUACCAGGUGGUGCAUUUUAUAGGGGAAGGUACCGUCAUCCGGUGCAUUGCUGUGAAAGAUUCCGGGAAUUAGUCUGCAAGCACAUCUUAUCAGCAACAGAUAAUUCAAACAGUGAGAAGGUCCCUUCUGGGACCGGGAAGGCUAUCUUGAAAGUAUCUGAGGAUCAAACUCAGAUGUUGCUCAAUGUAAUCAGCGAACUUCCUAACAAUGAGUUGCUUCUCCAGAAACAUUUCAUGGCUGUCCUUUCAUCUGUUUGGAGAUCAAAGUCUGCCCGUGAGUCCCGGAGUGUUACGAGUAACUCUUAUACACUCCAUAAGCCUGGUAGAUUCAGUGAGAACUGGUCCAUUGCAAACUUCAGACCAAACUUUAAUCUAGUAAGGACAGCCCUCGCAGAUGCUCAGGCUCAAUGUCCAAGAAUGGUAGUUCCAACAAACAAUCAUGAGUCCCGCCGUAACUAUUUGGAACUGGAACUGGAUUUCUUGACAGAUCAGUGUGAUUAUGAGGCUGACUUUCCAUCUGUAGUUAACGUGUCCGUACUAGAACCGGAACCUCUAAAACAUGCCAUGGAACCAGUGGAGCAAUCACUGCUGUCCACACUUUCUUAUAGACAUGCUGAGAACCGAUUCAGGAUAGUAUCAGAAACUUGUUUUGAAGGGGAAGGCUCUCACUGGGCCUCAUCUUCUUUCCACACAUGUGAUGCUGGUCGGCAUAAAUCUGGUUCAAAGUCCAUAGGAAAGCAGAAAGCAUCGUCAGAAUCUGGAAGGCCUGCCAAAUCCAAAAUUCAAAGGACUACUGAACCACAGGAAGGCCCAGUUACAAAUAGUUUUCAUAGGAUUCCGGGUCAACUUCUGCAUAACUCAUCUGAAUUCCACAUUACCCAGUCCCUAUCUGACUUUGGCAUCAAUGAUUCUGAAUUCACCCACUUUGAGGAUCUUCCUCAAGAGGCUGACACAGACUUUGUUCCGUACCAAUAUGACUCUGAUGUCCUUUCUUGUAUUGAGGAGUUGGAUCCUCUUUCAGACUUCACUGACAUCGGAUGACAACAUAAGAACAGAUUGCUCUGGAUGGCAUGCCCUUUCUUCAAACAGGACGUAAGAUUGUCUAUGGCAGGAGCCCAGGGAUGCAGACCGAGUCGCUCGGCCACACAGAACCGAUGCAAGCUUGAUGGCGAUUGGUGGGAGCGAAGCUUUUUGCUUGAAGUGGUCACAUUGACCUACAAGCUUUGAGGGUGUUGGUAUGCACUAAUGGAGGCAUUGGGUACUUUCUAUACAUAUGCCAACAGAGAAGGGAAAAGAGGAGGCCCUCGGCAUCACCCAAUCAUUAUUUCUUGCGUUCACUGGCCGUUUAAUCCAGUCAUUUGCCUACCUGUUGCCUUUUGGCACAGAAAAAAAUCCAGAUGUUUAACCUUCCUGAUGGCUGUAUGCUCUCGGUCAAUCGCAAUCCAGAUAUGGACUAUUGGGGAAUGGGGAUAAAUCCCUCGUGAAAAUUGGUGUUUCAAUUUUCACUGGAGGAACAAACAAUGUCUUGUUUUGUUGUAAUCCUGAAGUUCUUGGACUGAAAUACUGGCCUUCAAAAGAGGCAAGACCACCUUCAGCCUUCAGGUACAUUCAUACAUGGUAGAUACUCCGUAUCGUGGAUCGGUGUUCAUUGUACAACGGGCAACUAGCAACCUCUAAUGCACGUUUCCCUGGAUAGAACGUAUUACUGCGUCAAGCUUCGGCAGGAUAAUGAUGAAUUAUGUAAAUGCAUUCAAUAACAUGCACAUUUGAUUCUAUUUUUUAAUUUAAAUGUGCGAAAUUUCCAUGUCAUGGAAAUAUAUAUUUAUUCAC